GAUGAACGCUGGCGGCGUGCCUAAUACAUGCAAGUCGAGCGAACGGACGAGAAGCUUGCUUUUCUGAUGUUAGCGGCGGACGGGUGAGUAACACGUGGAUAACCUACCUAUAAGACUGGGAUAACUUCGGGAAACCGGAGCUAAUACCGGAUAAUAUUUUGAACCGCUUGGUUCAAAAGUGAAAGACGGUCUUGCUGUCACUUAUAGAUGGAUCCGCGCUGCAUUAGCUAGUUGGUAAGGUAACGGCUUACCAAGGCAACGAUGCAUAGCCGACCUGAGAGGGUGAUCGGCCACACUGGAACUGAGACACGGUCCAGACUCCUACGGGAGGCAGCAGUAGGGAAUCUUCCGCAAUGGGCGAAAGCCUGACGGAGCAACGCCGCGUGAGUGAUGAAGGUCUUCGGAUCGUAAAACUCUGUUAUUAGGGAAGAACAUAUGUGUAAGUAACUAUGCACAUCUUGACGGUACCUAAUCAGAAAGCCACGGCUAACUACGUG
rnacentral:rRNA from 1 species